UGCCAAGGUCAGGAGAAGCCAUUCAA
rnacentral:piRNA from 2 species